rnacentral:rRNA from 1 species
AUGAACGCUAGCUACAGGCUUAACACAUGCAAGUCGAGGGGCAGCAUGAACUUAGCUUGCUAAGUUUGAUGGCGACCGGCGCACGGGUGAGUAACACGUAUCCAACCUGCCGAUGACUCGGGGAUAGCCUUUCGAAAGAAAGAUUAAUACCCGAUGGCAUAGUUCUUCCGCAUGGUGGAACUAUUAAAGAAUUUCGGUCAUCGAUGGGGAUGCGUUCCAUUAGGUUGUUGGCGGGGUAACGGCCCACCAAGCCUUCGAUGGAUAGGGGUUCUGAGAGGAAGGUCCCCCACAUUGGAACUGAGACACGGUCCAAACUCCUACGGGAGGCAGCAGUGAGGAAUAUUGGUCAAUGGACGAGAGUCUGAACCAGCCAAGUAGCGUGAAGGAUGACUGCCCUAUGGGUUGUAAACUUCUUUUAUACGGGAAUAAAGUGAGGCACGCGUGCCUUUUUGUAUGUACCGUAUGAAUAAGGAUCGGCUAACUCCGUGCCAGCAGCCGCGGUAAUACGGAGGAUCCGAGCGUUAUCCGGAUUUAUUGGGUUUAAAGGGAGCGUAGGCGGACGCUUAAGUCAGUUGUGAAAGUUUGCGGCUCAACCGUAAAAUUGCAGUUGAUACUGGGUGUCUUGAGUACAGUAGAGGCAGGCGGAAUUCGUGGUGUAGCGGUGAAAUGCUUAGAUAUCACGAAGAACUCCGAUUGCGAAGGCAGCCUGCUGGACUGUAACUGACGCUGAUGCUCGAAAGUGUGGGUAUCAAACAGGAUUAGAUACCCUGGUAGUCCACACUGUAAACGAUGAAUACUAGGUGUGCGGGGACUGACCCCCUGCGUGCCGCAGUAAACACAAUAAGUAUUCCACCUGGGGAGUACGAUCGCAAGGUUGAAACUCAAAGGAAUUGACGGGGGCCCGCACAAGCGGAGGAACAUGUGGUUUAAUUCGAUGAUACGCGAGGAACCUUACCCGGGCUUGAAUUGCAACUGAAUGAUGUGGAGACAUGUCAGCCGCAAGGCAGUUGUGAAGGUGCUGCAUGGUUGUCGUCAGCUCGUGCCGUGAGGUGUCGGCUUAAGUGCCAUAACGAGCGCAACCCUUAUCGAUAGUUACCAUCAGGUGAUGCUGGGGACUCUGUCGAGACUGCCGUCGUAAGAUGUGAGGAAGGUGGGGAUGACGUCAAAUCAGCACGGCCCUUACGUCCGGGGCUACACACGUGUUACAAUGGGGGGUACAGAAGGCAGCUACACGGCGACGUGAUGCUAAUCCCUAAAGCCUCUCUCAGUUCGGAUUGGAGUCUGCAACCCGACUCCAUGAAGCUGGAUUCGCUAGUAAUCGCGCAUCAGCCACGGCGCGGUGAAUACGUUCCCGGGCCUUGUACACACCGCCCGUCAAGCCAUGAAAGCCGGGGGUACCUGAAGUGCGUAACCGCAAGGAGCGCCCUAGGGUAAAACUGGUGAUUGGGGCU